CCUACGGGAGGCUGCAGUGGGGGAUAUUGCACAAUGGGGGAAACCCUGAUGCAGCGACGCCGCGUGGGUGAAGAAGCGCUUCGGCGCGUAAAGCCCUGUCAGCAGGGAAGAAAAUGACGGUACCUGAAGAAGAAGCCCCGGCUAACUACGUGCCAGCAGCCGCGGUAAUACGUAGGGGGCAAGCGUUAUCCGGAUUUACUGGGUGUAAAGGGAGCGUAGACGGCGGUGCAAGCCAGGAGUGAAAGCCCGGGGCCCAACCCCGGGACUGCUCUUGAAACUGCGUGGCUGGAGUGCAGGAGAGGUAAGCGGAAUUCCUGGUGUAGCGGUGAAAUGCGUAGAUAUCAGGAGGAACACCGGUGGCGAAGGCGGCUUACUGGACUGCAACUGACGUUGAGGCCCGAAAGCGUGGGGAGCAAACAGGAUUAGAUACCCUUGUAGUC
rnacentral:rRNA from 1 species